GACGAACGCUGGCGGCGUGCUUAACACAUGCAAGUCGAACGGAAAGGCCCUGCUUUUGUGGGUUGCUCGAGUGGCGAACGGGUGAGUAACACGUGAGUAACCUGCCCUUGACUUUGGGAUAACUUCAGGAAACUGGGGCUAAUACCGGAUAGGAUCUCCUGCUGCAUGGUGGUGGUUGGAAAGUUUCGGCGGUUGGGGAUGGACUCGCGGCUAAUCAGCUUGUUGGUGGGGUAGUGGCUUACCAAGGCUUUGACGGGUAGCCGGCCUGAGAGGGUGACCGGCCACAUUGGGACUGAGAUACGGCCCAGACUCCUACGGGAGGCAGCAGUGGGGAAUAUUGCACAAUGGGCGGAAGCCUGAUGCAGAAACGCCGCGUGCGGGAUGACGGCUUUCGGGUUGUAAACAGCUUUCGACUGUGACGAAGCGUGAGUGACGGUAAUGGGUAAAGAAGCAACGGCUAACUACGUG
rnacentral:rRNA from 1 species